UACGAAGGGGGCGAGCGUUGUUCGGAAUUACUGGGCGUAAAGAGCGCGCAGGCGGUCGUUCAAGUCGAGUGUGAAAGCCCCCGGCUCAACUGGGGAGGGUCACUCGAUACUGAUCGACUUGAAGGCAGGAGAGGGAAGCGGAAUUCCCGGUGUAGUGGUGAAAUGCGUAGAUAUCGGGAGGAACACCAGUGGCGAAGGCGGCUUCCUGGCCUGUUCUUGACGCUGAGGCGCGAAAGCUAGGGGAGCAAACGGG
rnacentral:rRNA from 1 species